rnacentral:rRNA from 1 species
GACACGCUGGCGGCGUGCCUAACACAUGCAAGUCGAGCGGGGUUGAAGCGAGAGGUAACUCGAACUUCUACCUAGCGGCGGACGGGUGAGUAACGCGUGGGCAACCUGCCUCAAGGUCUGGGAUAACAGCCCGAAAGGGCUGCUAAUACCGGGUAUGCUUGUGGCCUCGCAUGGGGCUACGAGCAAAGGGGAAACCCGCCUUGAGAUGGGCCCGCGUCCCAUCAGCUAGUUGGUGAGGUAACAGCUCACCAAGGCGACGACGGGUAGCCGGCCUGAGAGGGUGACCGGCCACACUGGGACUGAGACACGGCCCAGACUCCUACGGGGGGCAGCAGUGGGGGAUCUUGCACAAUGGGCGAAAGCCUGAUGCAGCGACGCCGCGUGAGCGAAGAAGGCCUUCGGGUUGUAAAGCUCUGUCUGGAGGGACGAAGGAAGUGACGGUACCUCCGGAGGAAGCCACGGCUAACUACGUG